rnacentral:lncRNA from 1 species
UGUAGUGACAAAUCAACAUGAAGACCCUGAACGUAAGUCAUUUCCCUGCUAUUCUUGCAGAUCACAUGGAGAGGAUUUAAAUUCCAGAUUGACCCUUCCUGACUCCUCUUCCAGACAACCUCCUCCAUCAAGACAGAGAUCACAAGUAGGCAGAGAGGCAGGCAGAGAGGAGGAAGCAGGCUCCCCACUGAGCAGAGAGCCCGACGAGGGACUCCAUCCCAGGACCCUGAGAUCAUGACCUGAGCCGAAGGCAGAGGCUUAACCCACUGAGCCACCCAGGUAU